rnacentral:lncRNA from 1 species
GGAAAUGCUUGAACUGGGUUAUUGUGUCGACAGGUGCAUGUGAACUACAAACACACUCAUCCCACCCUCACACUCACACACGUGCGCACUCCCCCCCAGCACAGGCGCAGGCCCGGGAGCAGCCGUCAACCACGCGGGAGCACAGCGCCUUGGCUGGCGUCUGGUGAGGACCUUUCUGACUCGGUCCCUCUGCACGAGCAGGAAGCCAGCCUCAGCGCUGACCCUGGGGCGUGAAUCGCAGCAAGUUCCCUGCAGGAGGAAGGAGGGCCUGCCGCGGCUCACGCCUGGGGCUUUGGGUCCCCAGCGAUGGAAGAGACGGGAGCUUCCUCAGGCGUCCAGGGCAGCCUCGGGAGCCAUCACUCCCGGCUGAAGUCCCCGUGGACUAAGAAGCUUCAUGGGUCACUGGGGUGAAACAGACGAGGGCUUCCCACCGUUUCCACAGCGCACGUGGUGGAUGGUGCUCAAGUGUGAAACACGCCCUCUCGGGGCUUAUCUAGAAUCUGACAAAGCCAGAGGGCUUUACAGGGAAGGAAGCAGUCGUGCAUCACUACUGAGGGGGGGCAGGUUCUGAGAAAUGCGUCGUUAGGCAAUUUCAUCGUUGUGUGAGCAUCACAGGGUACACUUACACACCCAGAUGGUACAGCCUACUGCACACCUGGACUCUAUGGUACUAAUCUCAGGGGACCACCAUCAUGCUACAGCACGUGACUGUAGAAACAGCACUUCCUGAGCACCAGAUGACCUUCAGUAAAGGUCACUCCCACAGUGGACAUUUGAGGUUUUUCUUGCCAGCACCCCUCCCCCUGCUUGCAGUGAUGGCUUUCCAUUUGGGAGUUGACUCCUCCCUACUGUCAGUUCUUGUGGCAUAGGUGGGGCCCUUGCCUUUUUCUACAUGUGAAUCAUGUGAUCUAGGUCCACAUAAUAAACACGCAGCAUCCCUGGCCACAGCAUCAUUUGGGGCUUGGGCAUGUGACCAACUCUGGACCAAUCAGAGUCAUAUCAGGGCUGUUGCAGGAGCGAUUGGGGAAGUCGUGUGCUCUUUCUUCAGAACAUGUGAGGUUGGAGGUCCUGCAUUGAUGAGGUCACAGCCAGAGCGGAUCCUGGGGCUGCCAGAACACCGUGUGGGGCCUGAGGUUGAAGCCCGCACAGAGGAGGGCAGAGGACCGGGGGCAGCUCUGGUCAGGAACCCACAGCGAGGGGAGACACAAGGUGGACAAGACCUGAGGUGCAUCUGGGAGGAACGGCGCAGGACUCCCAUGAGGGAUCCCCCAGGACCCCACUGGAGCCCGACAUGGCCAGAGCAGACAAGAGGGGACGGAGGAGGCACGCACCAAGACCCCAGGAGAGACAUGGAACCAGCGCCAGAGAGAUGUGAGGAGAGCAAGAGGAAGAGACAGCAAGUGUCUGCUCUAGUGACAUGAAGCACCGGCUCCACGGGGCACGUCUGCAUGACAGUGUCAGACCCGCUCCAGAGAGGCCAAAGGAGAAGCACCUGUGGGGGGGCCUGGGACGCAGCUGCCACCACCCUCCCACCCUCCCCAGCACGUGGCUCUGAGCUGAAGCAAUGGUUGCAGUGUUGAAACACUCGAAAUGAGUCUCCAGCAGUUGGUGAUUAGGGACUGCGCCACGCCCC